AUUGAACGCUGGCGGCAGGCCUAACACAUGCAAGUCGAACGGGAGGCGGACGGGUGAGUAAGGAAUGGGAAACUGACUGGUGGAGGGGGUUAAGUACUGGGAACGGUAGCUAAUACCGCAAACCAUCAGAUGUGCCGAGAUGGGAUUAGGUAGUUGGUGUGGUAACGGCUCACCAAGGCGACGAUCCCUAGCUGGUCUGAGAGGAUGACCAGCCACACUGGAACUGAGACACGGUCCAGACUCCUACGGGAGGCAGCAGUGGGGAAUAUUGGACAAUGGGCGCAAGCCUGAUGCAGCCAUGCCGCGUGUGUGAAGAAGGCCUUCGGAUUGUAAAGUACUUUCAGCGGGGAGGCGUUACCCGCAGAAGAAGCACCGGCUAACUCCGUGCCAGCAGCCGCGGUAAUUC
rnacentral:rRNA from 1 species